AUUGAACGCUGGCGGCAGGCCUAACACAUGCAAGUCGAGCGGAGCGGCGGACGGGUGAGUAAUGUCUGGGGAUCUGCCCGAUAGAGGGGGAUAACUACUGGAAACGGUCGCUAAUACCGCAUACUAUCAGAUGAGCCCAGAUCGGAUUAGCUAGUUGGUGGGGUAACGGCUUACCAAGGCGACGAUCCGUAACUGGUCUGCGAGGAUGAUCAGUCAAACUGGAACUGAGACACGGUCCAGACUCCUACGGGAGGCAGCAGUGGGGAAUAUUGGACAAUGGGCGAAAGCCUGAUCCAGCCAUGCCGCGUGUGUGAAGAAGGCCUUCGGGUUGUAAAGUACUUUAAGUUAGGAGGCGUUACCAGCAGAAUAAGCACCGGCUAACUUCGUGCCAGCAGCCGCGGUAAUUC
rnacentral:rRNA from 1 species